rnacentral:rRNA from 1 species
GGCGUGCGGCAGCUACCAUGCAAGUCGAGCGGCAUGCACGGGACGUCUUGCUCCUGGAUUCAGCUGGCGGACGGGUGAGUAAUGCCUAGGAAUCUGCCUGGUAGUGGGGGAUAACUUCCGGAAACGGGCGCUAAUACCGCAUACGUCCUGAGGGAGAAAGUGGGGGAUCUUCGGACCUCACGCUAUCAGAUGAGCCUAUGUCGGAUUAGCUAGUUGGUGGGGUAAAGGCCUACCAAGGCGACGAUCCGUAACUGGUCUGAGAGGAUGAUCAGUCACACUGGAACUGAGACACGGCCCAGACUCCUACGGGAGGCAGCAGUGGGGAAUUUUGGACAAUGGGGGAAAGCCUGAUCCAGCCAUGCCGCGUGUGUGAAGAAGGUCUUCGGAUUGUAAAGCACUUUUGGUUGGAAGGAAGGGCAGUGGGUUAAUACCUUGCUGUUUUGACGUUACCUGCAGAAUAAGCACCGGCUAACUUCGUGCCAGCAGCCGCGGUAAUACGAAGGGUGCAAGCGUUAAUCGGAAUUACUGGGCGUAAAGCGCGCGCAGGUGGUUCAGAAAGUUGGAUGUGAAAUCCCCGGGCUCAACCUGGGAACUGCAUCCAAAACUACUGAGCUAGAGUGCGGUAGAGGGUGGUGGAAUUUCCUGUGUAGCGGUGAAAUGCGUAGAUAUGCGGAGGAACACCAGUGGCGAAGGCGACCUCCUGGACUGAUACUGACGCUGAUGCUGCGAAAGCGUGGGGAGCAAACAGGAUUAGAUACCCUGGUAGUCCACGCCGUAAACGAUGUCAACUACUGUUGGGGAUCCUCGGAGCAUCUAUUGGCACAUCUAACGCGAUAAUUGACACCGCCUGGAGAGAGUCCCGAGAUGUUAAAUCUCAGUGAUUUCCGACGCGCUCACAGCAGGAUGCAUGGAUUUAUUCAUAGCUACGAAAGACCUAUCCUCGCCCUUCUAUUUCUGAGAUCUGCCAGAUUCGAUUGUGCUUCGGACCUGAGCAAGUACUCAUGCAGCCUGACUCUGUCGCCAUGUCCGUAUCCGUAAUCGACAUGCUACUUACGAAGUCGACUGUGUCA